ACAAGCACACUAUCUCACCCUGGCCACACACAAACCUAAACCUAAAUCGCACACCAGCCACCGCCACCCUUCCUCUCCGUCGAUUCGGUCAUGCCGCUGCACGUCCCACCGUCGCCCGCGGAAGCCUGCGCCACCCGAAGCUCCCGUCCAGCUCGCAGUGCAGCCCCACCACCAGCAGCCUGAGGUGAAGCCCCGUCGUCAGCUCAUCCGGCGACCGACGCCGCGUCUGCCGAUUCGGUCGCGCCGCUGCGCCUCCACCGCCAGCGGCGCCACGCGGCCACCCGAAGCUCUUGCCCAGCCCGCGGUGCAUCCCUACGUGUCGCCCUGGCGAUGGACGACCCACCCACCGAUUUGCGCUGGUGCUUCUCCGACUGCCAUUAGUCCCCCCCAAAGCAUCCUUACACCCCGUGCUUCCAUCCACAGCCAAGGAGCCGCACAAACCCCUGCAUCCCGAGGUGGCAGCCAGCCGUCCCUCUUCCACCUCCGGUGAUGGCUCCCUAUUCCCCCUUGUCCUGCCCUCCUUUAAAUCCAACCGUUGCAUCCUCGUCUUCAAUUGAAUCUAUUUACAGAGGGAAAACUCCACAAGAGGCUUCUGAAGCUUGGUCAACACCUACAUGAGGAUUAUGAAAGGUUGAUCCAAGCCAGCUUCAGAAGGAGCUCAAGGCAUACAGGAAGACCGAGGACGAGGGGAUGAACACACUUUUGAACACUACCUCCAUUUCUGUGCAGUUUCUCUCAAGAUGCAAGCUGAAAUGCUGGUGAUCAAGAAGAACAGUCCUGUGAAUGGCAUCAUCAAGCUCAUCGAACAGCAUUACAUCACAAACCAUGUCAUGGGAACAUCUUCCUUCUCACCGUGUGUCCAGAUCAAAUACAGCUUCAUAACAAGGAUUCAUCUAUAAACAUGCACAUCAAAAUUGCCCGCAGACUUCUAUAUAUAUAGGCACUAAGAUGUGAUAAAUCAUGAUGGCACACUAUCAACUUAUAUAAGUUCCUUGAGGGUAAAAGCAAGUAAUGAACAAGGUACUAGCUUUCUAUCCAUUCUUUUCUUUAUUCCGACGUGAACUAUGUUGUCCUCCCUGAAAUGGUGAAAAAUGUCUAUAUAACCAUGUUAUGCAUGAUUUUGCUAUGUGUGUAACAUUUCAAGGGCAACUUCUUAGCUCAACUGAUGGCUGGAUGUCCUUUAUUACAAGCGUGCAUGCUCUAACCAUUUGUUCUUUCUUGUCGUGAUGGAAGAUGUAACACCAUUUACUUGCUAGGUCACUUUCUUACAUUUUCUAAACAGAAUCAUUCGAGUUUCAAUUCUAAAUCAGAUUUGCUUACUAAUGGAUAUCAAUAAUUAUGCUAGGUCUGUGAAUAGUUUAGUGGCUUGUAGAUGAACUGAGUGCCUGUAGUAAUUAAAUGGACUAUAGAUGAACUCAGAGCACAUAGUAAAUGGCUGGCAUGAUUUUAUUAUAAAUUGUGUGAAGAUCAUCCUAGCAAUUACUCACACUAGACAAUGCCUAACUAGAGUGCAUCUAUUGAACCAAGAUGCAUGUGUAACCAUAUGGUCUUCGAAAUGGCUUUUUUUACCAAGUGCAUUUCCUGCUAUCACACAUAUGACUUCUGGUACAUGUACAAGUGCAUAUCUGAUUAUUUGAUGGUUGAGGGCCUUCAAAUACAAAUUUGUAAAGUUACAAUAAGAACCUUAUUUGUUAUGCCUUGGAACAGAUCCGAGUCAAUGAGUGCAUAAUUUUUCUAUUAAGGCAUGUGAUAAACUAGUUGAUAGCCUGACUUUUGUUGGUGCUUUGUUAAGGAUAUCUUCUGUAACCAAAUUAUUUGUAGUACAUAUUCUAUUUUUAGAUCUUUGGGAUCAAAGGCAACUCACAAAUUUGAACAAAUUCUCAUUUCUAAUAUUGCUCAAACAUGUAAGUUCUUUUGCAGCGAAAUGGCACAUCCAGAAGUUGAUACAAGAUGUUUUGAUGGUCGGUUUUGUUCAUAACAUGUUUGGCACAUUUUGUGGAUAUGGAAGUUGAUGUCAGCUUGGUGAUCGAAGAGAUUUGGUCUCUUCCUUAAUAUUUUGUAGUAGUCAAGUGAUCGAACAAUUGGGUCUCUUAGGAGCCUAGCCAUCAUAUUUUGUAAUAGACCAUGUCUUGUAUGUCAACUUAUUUACUUAUUGGUUGUAGCUGACUUGAGUGUAGGAAACUACUGAAUCUUCUAUAUAUGCUUGAAUGAAUGUAUUAAUCAAUGGUAUGUUAUGAUGAA